GAUGAACGCUGGCGGCGUGCCUAAUACAUGCAAGUCGAGCGAACGGACGAUAAGCUUGAUUCUCUGAUGUUAGCGGCGGACGGGUGAGUAACACGUGGAUAACCUACCUAUAAGACUGGGAUAACUUCGGGAAACCGUAGCUAAUACCGGAUAAUAUUUUGAACCGAAUGGUUCAAAAGUGAAAGACGGUCUUGCUGUCACUUAUAGAUGGAACCGCGUUGCAUUAGCUAGUUGGUAAGGUAACGGAUUACCAAGGCAACGAGGCAUAGCCGACCUGAGAGGGUGAUGGGCAGCCGGGGAGAGAGGAUGCGGCCCCAGACCCGACGGGAGGCACCGGUAGGAAUCCUACGGAAUGGGCGAAAGCCUGACGGAGCAAAGCCGGCUGAAUGAUGAAGGUCUUCGGAUCGUAAAACUCUGUUAUUAGGGAAGAAGAUAAGUGUAAGUAACUGAGCACAUCUUGACGGUACCUAAUCAAAAAGCCACGGCUAACUACGUG
rnacentral:rRNA from 1 species